GUCAGCGUUUGGAUGCUGAUUAUGGGGUGGAUCCCUGGAUAUGGCAGUCUCUACAUGGCUUUCCUCUUUCUGAUGACCCUCAAAACUAUUACUGCUCUUUAUGUUGGGCUACAUACAAGUACCUGUGUCACAGUGAGAGCAGCGAGCGUUGCUGCAAGCACAUCAGUGUUCCAUUCAUGUGUGAUGUCCUCUGGCUUCUCCGUUUAUUCUCUGGACACAACAUACUUAACCCUUGAUAUAACUUACAAAAUCUACUCAAUGCUACUCUAGACGUUUCUGGCAAUGGGGUGUGGGAGACAAGGAAUCAGACAAUCUGCUUUCUUCAAGAACAAUAUAAGCAAGUGUUGUAGAUCACACUUGCAGGCAUAGAGCUUGGAUCUCUAUGGUAGGGUGAUCAUAGAAGGGUUAGCCUGGGCUGUAGAGCAAGAGCCUAUCUCAAAACCCAAACCAACCAACCAACAACCGAACAGAAAAAUAAUGCCUCAGUUCCACGUGGCUUCUAUCAAUACCCAUCCUAGCUGCCUGACACAGCAGCCAUUGUCUGUUUGAUUUUCUCAUCUUGAAUGGCAAAGCAAAUGCUGUCUGCCAGAUAUCUCUAAGAAUUAAUGAAAUGUACUUUUUUGGCACUAGGGGUGUGUGUGUGUGUGUGUGUGUGUGUGUGUGUGUGUAGAUUCAAUCUUAAAUGUUGAGGGUUCUUUUUGUUGUUGUUGUUGUUUUUUUUUUUUUUUUUUUUUACUUUGUGGCUUGUUUAAAAAGAUCUACAAUUGAAAGCCUCACAUCUUGGAAAUUCUUCAGUUGUUUCCCUUCACAGUGAAUUUCAGCUGUAAUUAAUGUUAGUUAAGAGUGGGCGAUUGCGCGUGUGGUGCUGUGUGGGACAGGAGUGCUGCUCACCGAAUGGCCAAAGUCAGUCUUUGUUGUAACAUGAAGUAUUACACAUCUACUCCACACUGAGAGUGGGGUUGUCAUCCCCAGGCUCAUUCUUUGGAAACUGAAGAGCAAACCUGUCUCAGAUCCCACCAGCUAUCCAAACCUCACAAAGCUUCUUCCAGAGCACGUGGUCAUAUUGCCAGCUCUUUCCAGACAAGCAUGUUUCUGAGUGGACAGGGCUGUUGGUGUGCAAAGUGUGGCUUGCCGUUUUUAUAAUAAGUCCCUUCAAGGUGUCAAGUAUGUGACUCAAAGAAAUGUAAGCAAUCUAAAGGCACUGAAAUGAUUUCUUUAGUUUAUGUGCAUUUAUUUUGAGGGAAACUUACAAUCAUAUAAGUUUUAUUUUGUUGUUAAAGCCCUGAGAGCGGGGUGGACUAUUUUGAAAGCGAAGUACAAAGAAAUGGCCGUGUAAUUCAGAAGUUGACACUGAGUUCAAGGUAAAGUCUCAGUUUUUCUCUCUUAAAACUAUUCUCUGAAAAGAAUUGUUUAUAAAACGUUCAGGGGAGGAGCUGGUUUCCCCAGUGCCUUUCCCUUCCUCUCAUUUUCCUUCUGUUUCACAAGUAUGUAUUCUGCUCAUUUGCUCACUCAUCCAUUUAUUUAUUCAGUAAACAUUUUAGAGUACCCACUGAAUGCUGUGCCUUGGAAUAGGUGUUGGGGAUGCUACCCAUAAUCCCCAUCAUUGAAUUGAUAUUAGGGACUGAGGACAGCAUGUGUCUUUUCUGUUUCUCUCUCUGUUAUCCUCACCUACACAUAGAUGGUUGCAUAUAUUUAUGUGUUGUAUAGGCAUAUUCACGGUACAGGAGAUAAUCACAACUACUGCAGAAAGUAGUCAUAAGCAUGAAGUCUGGAGGGCAAGUGAUAACACUUCACUUUAACAUCGGACAUGUUUUGAGGGACCCAGGUCCAUGACGUAGCCAGACUCUGAGCCAGACAGAGGGAAAAGUUCCAUAUCUCUGUGUGUGGUGGGAUGGUGGUGGCUGAGGAAACACUGUGGAGGGAUUACUAAGUGGACAGACCUGCACAGAGGUGCUCCGUUCAGCCUCUUCUUCUGUGAUGAUAGGCAACCACUUUCCAAACUACCCUCCCUGGCUGCUUCUUGAAGUUGUGGGUCUGUUCUGGCCAGUGACUUUUGAUGAGAAAGUCUCUGAAUACGAUUUUCUCUCCUUAAGGUAUGUUUACAAAAGGGCAUCCACUGUUGUCUUCUAAUAUCGUUCAAGCAUAGUGAGAGGCUUCCCUGCCAGCCAUUGUGUGAUGGUGACAGUAAAAAACCAAGACCUCCAGGGGUGGGAGAGGAAAGCAGCUGGUUUUCUCAUAAUAUAUGUGCCCGGGUAACUCUGAGAGAUCAUACGUGCUAAACAUCUUCUCGUUUGUUUGUGUUUUUAAAAUAUGUACGAGGGAUUUGUCUACAAGUAUGUCUGUGUACCAUGUGCAUGCCUGGUGCCUUCAACAGCCAGAGAAGAGCUUAGAUCCCCUAGAACUGGAGUCACAGAUUGUUCGGAGCUGCGAUGUGGGUGGUGGGACUCGGCCCAGGUUCUCUGGAAGAGCAGCCAGUGCUCUCAGCCACGGAGGCAUCUACUCAUCGCCUGCAUCUGUAUUGAAGAGAAAAUGCAGCCAUGAAACUGCUUGGAUGUGACCGUGUAACUCACAGAGGCAAACCCCCUCAAGGGGCUGAUCAUGGGAUAUAUUCCUGAUGUCCUUUGUCGUCUUCAUGAUCUUGUGGAAAGAAUGAGCCUCCAACCUUAUUUUGCUUGACA
rnacentral:lncRNA from 1 species